AACGCGAAGAACCUUACCUGGGCUUGAACCGCACAGGACCAGCUUUAGAAAUAGAGCCUUCCCGCAAGGGACCUGUGUAGAGGUGCUGCAUGGCUGUCGUCAGCUCGUGCCGUGAGGUGUUGGGUUAAGUCCCGCAACGAGCGCAACCCUUACUCUUAGUUGCCACCCGCAAGGGGGAACUCUAGGAGGACUGCUCCGGAUAACGGAGAGGAAGGUGGGGAUGAGGUCAAGUCAGCAUGGCCUUUAUGUCCAGGGCUACACACGUGUUACAAUGCGCGCUACAAAGUGUCGCGAACCCGCGAGGGGGAGCUAAUCGCAAAAAAGCGCGCUCAGUUCGGAUUGCAGUCUGCAACUCGACUGCAUGAAGCUGGAAUCGCUAGUAAUGGCGCAUCAGAUCGGCGCCGUGAAUACGUUCCCGGGCCUUGUACACACCGGCUAC
rnacentral:rRNA from 1 species